rnacentral:rRNA from 1 species
UACAGAGGGUGCGAGCGUUAAUCGGAAUUACUGGGCGUAAAGCGCGCGUAGGCGGCUUUGCAAGUCGAGUGUGAAAUCCCCAGGCUCAACCUGGGAACUGCAUUCGAGACUGCAUAGCUAGAGUAUGGGAGAGGGAAGUGGAAUUUCAGGUGUAGCGGUGAAAUGCGCAGAUAUCAGGAGGAACACCGGUGGCGAAGGCGGGUCUCUGGGCCGAUACUGACGCUGAGGAGCGAAAGCAUGGGUAGCGAACAGG